UGUGCACAUUUGUACAGUGUAAAAAUUAAAACAAGCCGAAACACGCAACCCGCGUUAUAAUGGAAUUAGUGUGCACAUUUGUUUCUGUGCACAAAACCAAUUAAAUUGUUAUCAGCGAAUUAUUUUCGACGUCGCCGUGUCGUUGCGCGUCGGCAUCAGCAUUAUAGUUUAUUUUUACUCUCAUUCAUUUAUUAUAUUCCGAUUAUCAGCUGAUAAUAUUGGCUAGUCAAUCAUUAUCGGAAAUUCAAAACAACAAUCGUGUUUCUGUUUUCUAUCGACGACCGACAUUACGUUUAUUAUUAUUCGUG